rnacentral:rRNA from 1 species
UACAGAGGGUGCAAGCGUUGUCCGGAAUCACUGGGCGUAAAGGGCGCGUAGGCGGCUUUGUAAGUCGGGGGUGAAAGCCUGUGGCUCAACCACAGAAUUGCCUUCGAUACUGCAUGGCUUGAGACCGGAAGAGGUUAGUGGAACUGCGAGUGUAGAGGUGAAAUUCGUAGAUAUUCGCAAGAACACCAGUGGCGAAGGCGGCUGACUGGUCCGGUUCUGACGCUGAGGCGCGAAAGCGUGGGGAGCAAACAGG